UUCGCCGUUUUACUUUGAGCAUGAUUGGUUAAUCUGUCUGUUUUACAGGAAACUGUCCAAUGAGAAUGUGCGCGGCUCUGCGCGCCUAUUUUAAAUUUGAAAAUAUGUCCGUUACUCUCGGUCGGAGCAGCUGCUUUGCGUUGAUUACUCGGUCAGUCCUGGAUUAUUUUAUAUAUGCCUGUUGAAUUCUUACAUUUUGAGCGAAUUUUAGUUGAUAUGACAAUGAAGAUCAAAAGCUGGAAUGUGAACAGAGGAAGGGGUCGUAUGUGGUCUGUAAAUACUGGCGAUAUCAGAUCAAGCUUUGUAAUAAGAUUUUUAUCGGGGGAGAACACCCAACAGAAAGACCCAUGAUUCACCAACUGGCGCACUGAAAGGGGAGAUUCAUGUCACCUUCAUCAGUCCUUUCUUUAAUCACUGGACACCAUUAAGGGAAAGACCCUCAGACGUGUCAUAAUAGGAUAAAUGUGGCUGCAGGACAAGGCCUGGUGAGAGCCACUACAGAGGAUCAUAG